rnacentral:rRNA from 1 species
CGGGCUUAACACAUGCAAGUCGAGGGGCAUCAGGAAGAAAGCUUGCUUUCUUUGCUGGCGACCGGCGCACGGGUGAGUAACACGUAUCCAACCUGCCCUUUACUCGGGGAUAGCCUUUCGAAAGAAAGAUUAAUACCCGAUAGCAUAAUGAUUCCGCAUGGUUUCAUUAUUAAAGGAUUCCGGUAAAGGAUGGGGAUGCGUUCCAUUAGGUUGUUGGUGAGGUAACGGCCCACCAAGCCUUCGAUGGAUAGGGGUUCUGAGAGGAAGGUCCCCCACAUUGGAACUGAGACACGGUCCAAACUCCUACGGGAGGCAGCAGUGAGGAAUAUUGGUCAAUGGGCGCUAGCCUGAACCAGCCAAGUAGCGUGAAGGAUGAAGGCUCUAUGGGUCGUAAACUUCUUUUAUAUAAGAAUAAAGUGCAGUAUGUAUACUGUUUUGUAUGUAUUAUAUGAAUAAGGAUCGGCUAACUCUGUGCCAGCAGCCGCGGUAAUACGGAGGAUCCGAGCGUUAUCCGGAUUUAUUGGGUUUAAAGGGAGCGUAGGUGGACUGGUAAGUCAGUUGUGAAAGUUUGCGGCUCAACCGUAAAAUUGCAGUUGAUACUGUCAGUCUUGAGUACAGUAGAGGUGGGCGGAAUUCGUGGUGUAGCGGUGAAAUGCUUAGAUAUCACGAAGAACUCCGAUUGCGAAGGCAGCUCACUGGACUGCAACUGACACUGAUGCUCGAAAGUGUGGGUAUCAAACAGGAUUAGAUACCCUGGUAGUCCACACAGUAAACGAUGAAUACUCGCUGUUUGCGAUAUACAGUAAGCGGCCAAGCGAAAGCAUUAAGUAUUCCACCUGGGGAGUACGCCGGCAACGGUGAAACUCAAAGGAAUUGACGGGGGCCCGCACAAGCGGAGGAACAUGUGGUUUAAUUCGAUGAUACGCGAGGAACCUUACCCGGGCUUAAAUUGCAGUGGAAUGAUGUGGAAACAUGUCAGUAAGCAAUCACCGCUGUGAAGGUGCUGCAUGGUUGUCGUCAGCUCGUGCCGUGAGGUGUCGGCUUAAGUGCCAUAACGAGCGCAACCCUUAUCUUUAGUUACUAACAGGUUAUGCUGAGGACUCUAGAGAGACUGCCGUCGUAAGAUGUGAGGAAGGUGGGGAUGACGUCAAAUCAGCACGGCCCUUACGUCCGGGGCUACACACGUGUUACAAUGGGGGGUACAGAAGGCAGCUAGCGGGUGACCGUAUGCUAAUCCCAAAAUCCUCUCCCAGUUCGGAUCGAAGUCUGCAACCCGACUUCGUGAAGCUGGAUUCGCUAGUAAUCGCGCAUCAGCCACGGCGCGGUGAAUACGUUCCCGGGCCUUGUACACACCGCCCGUCAAGCCAUGGGAGCCGGGGGUACCUGAAGUACGUAACCGCAAGGAUCGUCCUAGGGUAAAACUGGUGACUGGGGCUA